GGGUGUUUAGUUUAUAUAAAAACAGUUGUUUUGAAAACAUCUAAAAAGACAAAUUAAUCUUAACACCCU
rnacentral:tRNA from 1 species